UCCUCGUUUAAGCGAGGCAGUCUGUCCAGAGUGCUCCGAACUCUCGUUCGGGUGGCAACAGGACACAGGGGUUGCGCUCGUUGCGGGACUUGACCAAACAUCUCACGACACGAGCUGACGACAGCCAUGCAGCACCUGUGUCCAGGCUCCCUUUCGGGCACUCCCACAUCUCUGCAGGAUUCCUGGCAUGUCAAGGGUAGGUAAGGUUUUUCGCGUUGCAUCGAAUUAAACCACAUCAUCCACCGCUUGUGCGGGUCCCCGUCAAUUCCUUUGAGUUUUAAUCUUGCGACCGUACUCCCCAGGCGGUCUACUUCACGCGUUAGCUGCGUUACCAAGUUAAUUAAAACCCGACAACUAGUAGACAUCGUUUAGGGCGUGGACUAC
rnacentral:misc_RNA from 1 species